rnacentral:lncRNA from 1 species
CAAGGGUCAGGGGGUGCAGGAGAGGAUGUAUUCGCCAGCUGCAUGCGGGAAAACUUAAAAGAGAAAGCUAAGGGCGGGGGUCUUUCACAUCCAGGGAAUUGAUCUCAGGUCAUCAGACUUUGUGAUUUCCAGGAGAUAUGCAAUCAAGAGCAAGGGAGGAAUCACCCGGCAGCCUAAUACAACACCAGGAACACUCCAUCUGGGAAGCGUAACUGGUGGCUUUACCAGAAGCGGCUGAACACCUGUAGGAGUCUCAGACUGCAAAUCAGCUUGUCUGCUUGUAGACGGCGGCUGCCUGGAGCUGGCCUUACCACCAUCAGGUGGGAGCACGGAGGGGCUCACCUCCCAGUCCCUAAACUGGGAGUAAUAGAGCGCUUCCAGGUCCCACAGCUGGAGAGGGAUGCACCUCGAGGUUCCACCGCUGGGGGAGGGGGGCGCACGUGUAAAGGAUGCACAGCUGGAAGCAAGAGCGCGCUCAGGGAUUAGCAUGGCUCUGGAGCGUGGAGGACUGCAAGGUCUCAUCCAUCCACG